CCAGACUCCUACGGGAGGCAGCAGUGGGGAAUAUUGCACAAUGGGGGGAACCCUGAUGCAGCGACGCCGCGUGGGUGAAGGAGCACCUCGGUGCGUAAAGCCCUAUCGGCAGGAAAGAAAAGCGAACAGGUUCGCCUGGACGGUACCUGACUAAGAAGCCCCGGCUAACUACGUGCCAGCAGCCGCGGUAAUACGUGGGGGGCAAGCGUUAUCCGGAUUCACUGGGUGUAAAGGGAGCGUAGACGGCGACGCAAGUCUGGAGUGAAAGCCCGGGGCCCAACCCCGGGACUGCUCUUGGAACUGCGUGGCUGGAGUGCAGGAGGGGCAGGCGGAAUUCCUGGUGUAGCGGUGAAAUGCGUAGAUAUCAGGAGGAACACCAGUGGCGAAGGCGGCUUGCUGGACGAUGACUGACGUUGAGGCUCGAAAGCGUGGGGAGCAAACAGGAUUAGAUACCCCUGUACA
rnacentral:rRNA from 1 species